UUUACUCAAGUAAAUUGCUUUGUAAAGCUCGAGGCGGUUAAAAAUGUUUCUAUAUCUGUCAAGGAGGCUGGGAACAUAAUCAUCUUACGUCGACGAUGUUAUUUACAAAAUGGCUUUGUAUAAGCCAGUGUCGGAAUAAUAUUUUACUGCAGUACGACAUUGAGUGGCUAGUGUAAGAAGGAGUAAGAAGAUCAUCGAUUUGUCAAUACAUCAAUUUUUAUAAUUAAGAAUGUCUCGAUAAGGAAGAAUGAAAGAAGAAAAUAAAUUAUCAAGAACGCUACAUAUUCAUGGAUUUCUUUGGUGUAGUUGUUGUGAUACACUCACUUAAGAGUCCGUGCUUAUAAUGUAAGACAUCCGCUGUACUUCGGCUAUUCUGAAAUUUCCCUGCUUUUUAAGAAGUGUUACUCGUAAGAAGUAUAGAAUAAUAAGUUGGAUACUGGUGCUAAGCGGUUGGUUCGACCAGAUCCGCUCUUGAUUCCAUAUUUCACAACGCCCUCUACACCGCCAGAGACAGAAACAGAUGAGAAAGAUCGUGCGAGAGAAAGUGAUACAGAAGGGUGGUCACGAUCCUCAGCAUUGAAGAAUACGAUGCAACAAGGAGGAGGUAUUAACCAUAUAAAUUCGCAACAUGAUGUACCUCUGAUACGGAAACAAAUUGUUGUUUUAACAAUUAUGAGCUUCAUUAGGAAAUUUUGGUAUGUGACAUUCCCUAUUUCCAACUUAUACAGAGCAAACC